GACAGAGGGUGCAAACGUUGUUCGGAAUUACUGGGCGUAAAGCGCGUGUAGGCGGUUUGGUAAGUCGGAUGUGAAAGCCCCGGGCUCAACCUGGGAAGUGCACUCGAUACUGCCAGGCUAGAGUAUCGGAGAGGUUGGUGGAAUUCCCGGUGUAGAGGUGAAAUUCGUAGAUAUCGAGAGGAACACCGGUGGCGAAGGCGGCCAACUGGACGAAUACUGACGCUGAGACUCGAAAGCGUGGGGAGCAAACAGG
rnacentral:rRNA from 1 species